rnacentral:lncRNA from 10 species
GGGGGUGAAAAGGCAAAAGGCGGGUGAAAGGCUGCCUCCCGAGACUCUCCUUGCUUGGAAUUCUGCCCACUCUGCGGAGUUAGCAGUCACGACCUCCAGCACAGGGUUGUCGUCACGAUCUGUGCCAGUUGCGCGACAGAGUCUGCCCGGAGAUCAGCGUGAGGCCGGAUGGGCCUAGCGCUCAGGAAGAGCUGGAAGAGCUGGAGCAAGCUCGCGUUGGGACUGACGCCCAGUGUACAUUGUUUCAAUCUCGGUCGGACUUUACAGCCCUGGAUCUGUCACUGACUUGGUGUUUAGCUUUCAGCGAGUCCCUACCCUCUUCCUGCCUCACUUUGUUCGGCAGUAGAGUGGAAGGUGGAACUCAGCUGUCUGCAAGAUCUUGCAGCACUUUCUUUCGUUCUCAUAUCCACUAAUGUUCUCUGCCCAGAUUUUACCCUUUGUCUGCCCCCUCUGGAGCAAGGCUCUGGGUAAGUAAGUUAGGCUAGGAAGUUUUCUUUCUCUUCCGAAAACAAUGGAAAAGCCUUUAAAUACUCCUGACUGCCCUGGAAACGACAUUCAAACCAUUAAUUGAAUGUCAACUC